UACGUAGGUGACAAGCGUUGUCCGGAUUUACUGGGCGUAAAGAGCGCGCAGGCGGUCGUUCAAGUCGAGUGUGAAAGCCCCCGGCUCAACUGGGGAGGGUCAUUCGAUACUGAUCGACUCGAAGGCAGGAGAGGGUAGUGGAAUUCCCGGUGUAGUGGUGAAAUGCGCAGAUAUCAGGAGGAACACCCGUGGCGAAAGCGGCUCUCUGGGACGGUACUGACGCUGAGACGCGAAAGCGUGGGGAGCAAACAGG
rnacentral:rRNA from 1 species